rnacentral:misc_RNA from 1 species
ACUGUUAUCCCUUUUGGUAAAUUGAAAUAAGCAUUCUGUGGCAUCUUUGGAAGCAGUAGUCAUGACUACAAGAUUGUGAGACUCUACUACUAAGCUCAAUUAAAAAAAAUUCUGGAAGGAGAAAAGGAGGUCAAGAGGUGAUGGUUUUGUAUUGUGUUUGCAAUUAUUUGGAGUAUUUGUUUACGAGGAAUCAUAUAAUUUGCAAGGGUCAGUACUUCAAUUUUCUGUCAUUAUGAGGCAAAAUUGCUUUCUUAGCUUCCCUGCAGAGUUCAGCUUCUACUCACAUGUAAAGAAUAUGGUGUCCAACAUUCGAUGUGAUUGGAGGGUUUUACUUUGUUAAUUUUAUCAUGUUGUCCUUAUCCUAUUAUUAAGAGGAUGACUAGUACAUAAUUCUUGUGAUUGUCCUUUUUUCUUCUUAUCUCCAAUAAAGUCUCUGUUUAUAU